AACCCUUGAGCAAUGACAAGUACCUGCCAAACACUGUUGUGAAAAACCUCUCUCCUGGGAAAACAAAAGUCAUGACAUUUUGAGCACAAUUGUGUGUGGGAUGCAUUCAUCAAUAGAGCUGGAAGUAAUACCACCAUAGGAGAGGAAACUUUUAGUUACAAGCACAUAAAUAAAUAAAAUCAAACUCAACUGGAAUGACGUUCCUGAGGAUGGAGAUACAUUUUUUUGUUGACCCAUUUAAACUUGAACAUCAAGUGAUAAUCAGUCUCCAAUCAGAAAGUCCCAGGACUUAUAGGAGCAGAAAUCAGAAGACUUGACUCCACAAGCUUCAGGUGGACAUGGGGACAAAGCCAUUUGAGAACAUGACAAAAAUACAGCAAGAGCAGAGACAAGAUCUGAUCAUCCUGGGGGCAGAUGCUGGGCUCUGACCAAUUUGAGAGAGAAAAGGAAAAAGAACCCAGCUACAAGAUGCACAAGUAUCAGGCCACAGCCACCAACAUCAGCAGAGCAAUUGGAGGCCAGGAAGACAAGGACACUUCUGAAGAGACUGAAAAAAGCAGAAGACAGUCCAAGUCACUGCAAGGUUCCAAGGUCUCUUUUUUCAUUACUGUUACAAGUACCAAGUAAGUCAAAAUCCACCCUACUCUUCAAAACCAUCUUGAAGAGUUGCAGGUCAAUGUUGCUGCAUCUGAGCAUGUUUACUCACAAAAGGUGACAGAUGCUCCUCAACUUACAAUGAGAUUACAUCCUGAUAAAUGUGUCAUAAGUUGAAAAUAUCUUAUAAGUCGAAAAUGCAUUUACUACAACCUAACCCACUGAACAUUGUAGCUUAGGCUAGCCUACCUUAAAAGGUGAUCAGGACACUUCCCUCAGCCUACAUUUGGGCAAAAUCACCUAACACGAAGCCUAUUUUAUAAUAGAGCGUUGAAUAGCUCACAUAAUUUAUUGAAUACUGUACAUUACAUAGAAUCUGUGACAGUUUCACACCAUCGUUAUGUCAAAAAACCAUUAAGUCGAGCUGCCAUAACUCAGGGACUGUCUGUAUUUAUAUUUUUAGCUCCGAAAAACAAAAAAAAACAAAAGAAGUCAGAGGAGGAGGGCAACAUGGAGCAGAGGAAGAAGGAGAGAAAAAGCAAGAAACCGUUAUCGCUCCCUCAUCUGAAUUGCACUGCGAGUAAGCUGGGGCUUCCACCACAGUGUCCUGGAAGCCAUGUUUGCUGCCCAUUUCUGGACUUUCCAGCCACACUGGCCUCCUUUCCCUUUCUCAAACCUGCUGUGGUUCCUGCCACUUCAAGAUAAUCUCUUAACAAUCUAUUCCUUCUGCCUGGAAUGCUCUUCCUCCCACCCAACCCCGCCAUGCCCAGCUAACUCCAUUCUUUGGCCCCUGCAUCGCUUUCCCAAGGAAGCCAUUUCUGGACCUCCCUGACCCCUGCCUUCCAUCUUCACUGGUCCAGAGUUCCCUACACUAUGGUCUCAUCGCUCCUUCCCAGGAGCUGCUGCCUCCCAGGACUCUUCCUCGUCGGUAAUAUAGUUCUGCUUGAUUGUUCAGUUAAUUUUGCCUCCCCUGAAGACCAUAAGCCAUGUUGGCAAUGAUGGUUUUGCUCACCAUUGCACCUCCAGUGUCUAAAAACCAUAGGCAUGUCAAUUCAUUUUUGUUGAGUAAAGGAAUUGUUCAAUAAGUGCACAAAUAAAUUCACAUUAAAACUUGUCC
rnacentral:lncRNA from 1 species